GGCGGGUUCGGCUAGCGGUCAGGCCGCCGGAUUCUCAUUCCGGAAACAGGGGUUCGACUCCCCUACUCGCUGCCA
rnacentral:tRNA from 1 species